ACUCCUACGGGAGGCAGCAGUGGGGAAUAUUGCACAAUGGGCGCAAGCCUGAUGCAGCCAUGCCGCGUGUGUGAAGAAGGCCUUCGGGUUGUAAAGCACUUUCAGUCGUGAGGAAGGUAGUGUAGUUAAUAGCUGCAUUAUUUGACGUUAGCGACAGAAGAAGCACCGGCUAACUCCGUGCCAGCAGCCGCGGUAAGUACGGAGGGUGCGAGCGUUAAUCGGAAUUACUGGGCGUAAAGCGCAUGCAGGUGGUUGUUAAGUCAGAUGUGAAAGCCCGGGGCUCAACCUCGGAAUUGCAUUUGAAACUGGCAGACUAGAGUACUGUAGAGGGGGUUAGAAUUUCAGGUGUAGCGGUGAAAUGCGUAGAGAUCUGAAGGAAUACCGGUGGCGAAGGCGGCCCCUGGACAGAUACUGACACUCAGAUGCGAAAGCGUGGGAGCAAACGAGGAUUAGAU
rnacentral:rRNA from 1 species